GGGUCUGUAGCUCAGUCGGCUAGAGCGCACCCCUGAUAAGGGUGAGGUCGCUGGUUCGAUUCCAGCCAGACCCACCA
rnacentral:tRNA from 1 species